GAGGGUAUAGCUCAGUGGUAGAGUGCGGUGCUUGGCAUGCAUGGGGUCCUGGAUUCAGUCCCCAGUACCAGCA
rnacentral:tRNA from 1 species